rnacentral:rRNA from 1 species
GAUGAACGCUGGCGGCGUGCCUAAUACAUGCAAGUCGAGCGAACAGACGAGGAGCUUGCUCCUCUGACGUUAGCGGCGGACGGGUGAGUAACACGUGGAUAACCUACCUAUAAGACUGGGAUAACUUCGGGAAACCGGAGCUAAUACCGGAUAAUAUAUUUAACCGCAUGGUUCAAUAGUGAAAGACGGUUUUGCUGUCACUUAUAGAUGGAUCCGCGCCGCAUUAGCUAGUUGGUAAGGUAAUGGCUUACCAAGGCGACGAUGCGUAGCCGACCUGAGAGGGUGAUCGGCCACACUGGAACUGAGACACGGUCCAGACUCCUACGGGAGGCAGCAGUAGGGAAUCUUCCGCAAUGGGCGAAAGCCUGACGGAGCAACGCCGCGUGAGUGAUGAAGGUCUUCGGAUCGUAAAACUCUGUUAUUAGGGAAGAACAAAUGUGUAAGUAACUAUGCACGUCUUGACGGUACCUAAUCAGAAAGCCACGGCUAACUACGUG